AUGGUCCACAGGACAAGUCAAACGGAGUCUCCAAUAGUUCUGUCUUUAAAAGCAUUUCUGCCAAGAUUGAUAACCUCAGAACUGAGUCUGGGAAGCAAACAAUCCAACAUCCAGUGGGCAUUUAAGAAGCUUUUGGAACAAAUUGCCAGGUUCUAAAGAGAAAUACCAUCAAAGUCAAAGCAAGACCCUAGUCCUCACAGAGGUCCCUUGGGUAAGUAGCCAGUUUCCUACAAUUGGAAACAGUGAAACCAAAGGAGAAGUACAGUGAGUAAAGGAGUACUUGAGAGGGGCACCUGGGUGGCUUAGAUGGCUAAGCCUCUGCCUUGGCUCAGGUUAUGAUCUCAGGGUUCUGAGAUUGAGCCCCGAAUCUGGGUCCUUGCUCAGCGGGGAGUCCACUUCUCCCUCUGCCUCUCCCCACCUGCCUGUGCUCUCUCUCAUUCUCUAUGUCAAAUAAAUAAGACUAAAAAAAAUGUGCAAUUUCUACAGAAUUGUGUGGGCAGAUUAUAAUGGAAGGCCUACAGGGUAGAAAGUUUAAAAAUGAAUAAUGGAUUCUUUUGAUCUUCUAGCAGGUAAAAUCAGAAAGGUAAAAUCAGAAAACACAUUCUUUAUAACCUGAUUAUAAUUCAGUUCUUCAAAUUCUCAGUUUUAAACUUUACUAUACAAAUGAUAUUUUAAGUGAAUCUCUCAAUCCCACUCUUUUUAAAGAAUGACAGCCGAAAUGAUAAUAACCAAAUGGCAUUGGUGAAGCUGGUUUUAAAGCCUUA
rnacentral:lncRNA from 1 species